rnacentral:ncRNA from 1 species
CAAAGGUUUGGUCCUGACUUUACUAUCAAUUGUACCCUAAUUUACACAUGCAAGUCUCCGCCUCCCCGUGAGAAUGCCCUUAAUGUCCUGCCCGGAAUUAAGGAGCAGGUAUCAGGCACAUCUAAUAGUUUACUAGCCCAUAACGCCUUGCUCAGCCACACCCCUACGGGUAUUCAGCAGUGAUAAAAUUUAAGCCAUAAGUGAAAGCUUGACUUAGUUAAGGGGAAGAGGGCCGGUAAAACUCGUGCCAGCCACCGCGGUUAUACGAGAGACCCAAAUUGAUGAAAAACGGCGUAAAGCGUGGUUAAGAAAAAAAGAGAAAAUAUGGCCGAACAGCUUCAAAGCAGUUAUACGCAUCCGAAGUCACGAAGAACAAUCACGAAAGUUGCCCUAAAACCUCCGAUUCCACGAAAGCCAUAAAACAAACUGGGAUUAGAUACCCCACUAUGUAUGGUCGUUAACAUUGAUGGUUUUAUACCCAAACCAUCCGCCUGGGAACUACGAGCAAUAGCUUAAAACCCAAAGGACUUGGCGGUGCUUUAGACCCCCCUAGAGGAGCCUGUUCUAGAACUGAUAACCCCCGUUUAACCUCACCAUCCUUUGUUUUCCCCGCCUAUAUACCACCGUCGUCAGCUUACCCUGUGAAGGGAAAAUAGUAAGCAUAAAUGGCAAAGCCAAAAACGUCAGGUCGAGGUGUAGCGUAUGGGGUGGGAAGAAAUGGGCUACAUUCUCUACUAUAGAGAAUACGAAUUGUAAUUUGAAAAAAAUUACCUGAAGGAGGAUUUAGCAGUAAGUAGGGACUAGAGUGCCCUGCUGAAAACGGCCCUGAAGCGCGCACACACCGCCCGUCACUCUCUCCAAAUAAACCCUAGAUAUUACCUAAAAUGCUUUUUAUAAUAAGGGGAGGCAAGUCGUAACAUGGUAAGCGUACCGGAAGGUGCGCUUGGAUGAAC